CCUACGGGAGGCAGCAGUGAGGAAUAUUGGUCAAUGGGCGCAAGCCUGAACCAGCCAAGUCGCGUGAGGGAUGACGGUCCUAUGGAUUGUAAACCUCUUUUGUCGGGGAGCAAGGCCCGCCACGUGUGGCGGGAAGGAUAGUACCCGAAGAAAAAGCAUCGGCUAACUCCGGGCCAGCAGCCGCGGUAAUACGGAGGAUGCGAGCGUUAUCCGGAUUUAUUGGGUUUAAAGGGUGCGUAGGCGGAAGGUUAAGUCAGCGGUAAAAUGUCGGUGCUCAACACCGGCCUGCCGUUGAAACUGGUCUUCUUGAGUGAGCGAGAAGUAUGCGGAAUGCGUGGUGUAGCGGUGAAAUGCAUAGAUAUCACGCAGAACUCCGAUUGCGAAGGCAGCAUACCGGCGCUCAACUGACGCUGAGGCACGAAAGCGUGGGGAUCGAACAGGAUUAGAUACCCCUGUAGUC
rnacentral:rRNA from 1 species